rnacentral:rRNA from 1 species
GUAGGGAGCAAGCGUUGUUCGGAAUCAUUGGGCGUAAAGAGCGCGUAGGUGGCUUGGUAAGUCUGUUGUGAAAGCCCACAGCUCAACUGUGGAACUGCGACAGAAACUGCCUGGCUAGAGUGCGGGAGAGGAAAGUGGAAUUCCCAGUGUAGAGGUGAAAUUCGUAGAUACUGGGAGGAACACCGGUGGCGAAGGCGGCUUUCUGGACCGCAACUGACGCUGAGGCGCGAAAGCUAGGGGAGCGAACGGGGGAUUAGAUACCCCGGUAGUCCUAGCCGUAAACGAUGGGCACUAGGUGUAGGGGGUAUCGACCCCUUCUGUGCCCGUAGCUAACGCAUUAAGUGCCCCGCCUGGGGGAGUACGGUCGCAAGACUA